GCCGGGCAUGGUGGCGUGCACCUACAGUCCCUGCUACUCAGGAGGCUGAGGCUGGAGGAUCACUUGAGCCCAGGAGUUCAGGGCUGUCAUGGGCUAUGCUGAGCAGGUGUCCAUCCUAAGUCCGGCAUCACUAUGGUGGCCUCCCAGGAGUGGGGGACCACUGGGUUGCCAAGGGAGGGCGAACUGGCCCAGAAACAGAGCAGGUCAGAACUUCUGUGCUGAUCGGGAGUGGGACUACACCUGUGCAUAGCCAGUGCACUCCAGCCUGGACAACACAGCAAGACCCUGUCUCU
rnacentral:SRP_RNA from 1 species